rnacentral:rRNA from 1 species
GAUGAACGCUAGCGGCAGGCCUAACACAUGCAAGUCGAGGGAGAAGCCCUUUCGGGGGCAGAAACCGGCGCACGGGUGCGUAACGCGUAUGCAACCUACCUUUCACAGGGGGAUAGCCCGAAGAAAUUUGGAUUAAUACCCCAUAAUAUUAUUGGAUGGCAUCAUUUGAUAAUUAAAACUGCGGUGGUGAAAGAUGGGCAUGCGUCCUAUUAGCUAGUUGGAGUGGUAACGGCACCCCAAGGCUACGAUAGGUAGGGGUCCUGAGAGGGAGGUCCCCCACACUGGUACUGAGACAGGGACCAGACUCCUACGGGAGGCAGCAGUGAGGAAUAUUGGUCAAUGGUCGGAAGACUGAACCAGCCAUGCCGCGUGCAGGAAGAAUGCCUUAUGGGUUGUAAACUGCUUUUAUAUGGGAAGAAUAAGGCGUACGUGUACGUUGAUGACGGUACCAUAUGAAUAAGCAUCGGCUAACUCCGUG